GAUGAACGCUAGCGGCAGGCUUAACACAUGCAAGUCGAGGGGUAUAUUUCUUCGGAGAUAGAGACCGGCGCACGGGUGCGUAACGCGUAUGCAAUCUACCUUUUACAGAGGGAUAGCCCAGAGAAAUUUGGAUUAAUACCUCAUAGUAUAUAGACUCGGCAUCGAGAUUAUAUUAAAGUCACAACGGUAAAAGAUGAGCA
rnacentral:rRNA from 1 species